rnacentral:rRNA from 1 species
GGAAAAGAAAUCAACCGAGAUUCCCCCAGUAGCGGCGAGCGAACGGGGAGCAGCCCAGAGCCUGAAUCAGUGUGUGUGUUAGUGGAAGCGUCUGGAAAGGCGCGCGAUACAGGGUGACAGCCCCGUACACAAAAAUGCACAUACUGUGAGCUCGAUGAGUAGGGCGGGACACGUGGUAUCCUGUCUGAAUAUGGGGGGACCAUCCUCCAAGGCUAAAUACUCCUGACUGACCGAUAGUGAACCAGUACCGUGAGGGAAAGGCGAAAAGAACCCCGGCGAGGGGAGUGAAAAAGAACCUGAAACCGUGUACGUACAAGCAGUGGGAGCACGCUUAGGCGUGUGACUGCGUACCUUUUGUAUAAUGGGUCAGCGACUUAUAUUCUGUAGCAAGGUUAACCGAAUAGGGGAGCCGAAGGGAAACCGAGUCUUAACUGGGCGUUAAGUUGCAGGGUAUAGACCCGAAACCCGGUGAUCUAGCCAUGGGCAGGUUGAAGGUUGGGUAACACUAACUGGAGGACCGAACCGACUAAUGUUGAAAAAUUAGCGGAUGACUUGUGGCUGGGGGUGAAAGGCCAAUCAAACCGGGAGAUAGCUGGUUCUCCCCGAAAGCUAUUUAGGUAGCGCCUCGUGAAUUCAUCUCCGGGGGUAGAGCACUGUUUCGGCAAGGGGGUCAUCCCGACUUACCAACCCGAUGCAAACUGCGAAUACCGGAGAAUGUUAUCACGGGAGACACACGGCGGGUGCUAACGUCCGUCGUGAAGAGGGAAACAACCCAGACCGCCAGCUAAGGUCCCAAAGUCAUGGUUAAGUGGGAAACGAUGUGGGAAGGCCCAGACAGCCAGGAUGUUGGCUUAGAAGCAGCCAUCAUUUAAAGAAAGCGUAAUAGCUCACUGGUCGAGUCGGCCUGCGCGGAAGAUGUAACGGGGCUAAACCAUGCACCGAAGCUGCGGCAGCGACGCUGAUGCGUUGUUGGGUAGGGGAGCGUUCUGUAAGCCUGUGAAGGUGUGCUGUGAGGCAUGCUGGAGGUAUCAGAAGUGCGAAUGCUGACAUAAGUAACGAUAAAGCGGGUGAAAAGCCCGCUCGCCGGAAGACCAAGGGUUCCUGUCCAACGUUAAUCGGGGCAGGGUGAGUCGACCCCUAAGGCGAGGCCGAAAGGCGUAGUCGAUGGGAAACAGGUUAAUAUUCCUGUACUUGGUGUUACUGCGAAGGGGGGACGGAGAAGGCUAUGUUGGCCGGGCGACGGUUGUCCCGGUUUAAGCGUGUAGGCUGGUUUUCCAGGCAAAUCCGGAAAAUCAAGGCUGAGGCGUGAUGACGAGGCACUACGGUGCUGAAGCAACAAAUGCCCUGCUUCCAGGAAAAGCCUCUAAGCAUCAGGUAACAUCAAAUCGUACCCCAAACCGACACAGGUGGUCAGGUAGAGAAUACCAAGGCGCUUGAGAGAACUCGGGUGAAGGAACUAGGCAAAAUGGUGCCGUAACUUCGGGAGAAGGCACGCUGAUAUGUAGGUGAAGCGACUUGCUCGUGGAGCUGAAAUCAGUCGAAGAUACCAGCUGGCUGCAACUGUUUAUUAAAAACACAGCACUGUGCAAACACGAAAGUGGACGUAUACGGUGUGACGCCUGCCCGGUGCCGGAAGGUUAAUUGAUGGGGUCAGCGCAAGCGAAGCUCUUGAUCGAAGCCCCGGUAAACGGCGGCCGUAACUAUAACGGUCCUAAGGUAGCGAAAUUCCUUGUCGGGUAAGUUCCGACCUGCACGAAUGGCGUAAUGAUGGCCAGGCUGUCUCCACCCGAGACUCAGUGAAAUUGAACUCGCUGUGAAGAUGCAGUGUACCCGCGGCAAGACGGAAAGACCCCGUGAACCUUUACUAUAGCUUGACACUGAACAUUGAGCCUUGAUGUGUAGGAUAGGUGGGAGGCUUUGAAGUGUGGACGCCAGUCUGCAUGGAGCCGGCCUUGAAAUACCACCCUUUAAUGUUUGAUGUUCUAACGUUGACCCGUGAUCCGGGUUGCGGACAGUGUCUGGUGGGUAGUUUGACUGGGGCGGUCUCCUCCUAAAGAGUAACGGAGGAGCACGAAGGUUGGCUAAUCCUGGUCGGACAUCAGGAGGUUAGUGCAAUGGCAUAAGCCAGCUUGACUGCGAGCGUGACGGCGCGAGCAGGUGCGAAAGCAGGUCAUAGUGAUCCGGUGGUUCUGAAUGGAAGGGCCAUCGCUCAACGGAUAAAAGGUACUCCGGGGAUAACAGGCUGAUACCGCCCAAGAGUUCAUAUCGACGGCGGUGUUUGGCACCUCGAUGUCGGCUCAUCACAUCCUGGGGCUGAAGUAGGUCCCAAGGGUAUGGCUGUUCGCCAUUUAAAGUGGUACGCGAGCUGGGUUUAGAACGUCGUGAGACAGUUCGGUCCCUAUCUGCCGUGGGCGCUGGAGAACUGAGGGGGGCUGCUCCUAGUACGAGAGGACCGGAGUGGACGCAUCACUGGUGUUCGGGUUGUCAUGCCAAUGGCACUGCCCGGUAGCUAAAUGCGGAAGAGAUAAGUGCUGAAAGCAUCUAAGCACGAAACUUGCCCCGAGAUGAGUUCUCCCUGACUCCUUGAGAGUCCUGAAGGAACGUUGAAGACGACGACGUUGAUAGGCCGGGUGUGUAAGCGCAGCGAUGCGUUGAGCUAACCGGUACUAAUGAACCGUGAGG